GACAGAGGGUGCUAGCGUUGUUCGGAAUUACUGGGCGUAAAGGGCGCGUAGGCGGCUCGUUUAGUCGGGUGUGAAAUCCCGGGGCUCAACCCCGGAACUGCAUUCGAUACUGGCGGGCUAGAGGCCGGAAGAGGUGGGUGGAAUACCCAGUGUAGAGGUGAAAUUCGUAGAUAUUGGGUGGAACACCGGUGGCGAAGGCGGCUCACUGGUCCGGUUCUGACGCUGAGGCGCGAAAGCGUGGGGAGCAAACAGG
rnacentral:rRNA from 1 species